rnacentral:rRNA from 1 species
AUACGGAGGGUGCAAGCGUUGUUCGGAAUUACUGGGCGUAAAGCGCGUGUAGGCGGCUUCGCAAGUCGGGUGCGAAAUCCCGGGGCCCAACCCCGGAACUGCACCCGAAACUGCGAGGCUAGAGUCCCGGAGAGGAUGGCGGAAUUUCCGGUGUAGAGGUGAAAUUCGUAGAUACCGGAAGGAACACCAGUGGCGAAGGCGGCCAUCUGGACGGUGACUGACGCUGAGGUGCGAAAGCGUGGGGAGCAAACAGGAUUAGAAACCCGAGUAGUCC